GCUUUGGCCUCCCGAGGUCUCUCACGACUCAGAGGCUUAUAAACAAAGUCGCUGCCACAGUGUGAAUUGACGUUUUGCCAAAUUCUUGUCUUCAGAUAAGGGAAUUCUGAAAACGACCUUGAAAGUAGAGAAGAGGAGUGUGCAGAUAGCUUUAGCAGCCUCGCAAAGGGUUCUUGUGUUCAUCUAUUUGAAGGUUUAAGAUUUAAAAAUUUAAAGAGAGGAGUUCCUAUCGUGGCACAGUGGAAACAAAUCUGACAAGGAACCAUGAGGUUGCGGAUUCGGUCUCUGGCCUCGCUCAGGGUUAAGGAUCUGGUGUUGCCGUGUAAGUCGCAGAUGCUGCUUGGAUCUGGCAUUGCUGUGGCUGUGAUGUAGGCCAGCAACUAUAGCUCUGAUUAGACCCCUAGCUUGGGAACCUCCAUAUGCCGCAGGUAGCCACAUCUGAGCCUGAUAGAGAGAACUUUGCGUUGACGUCCUGGCCUGUGAGCUGCGUUUAGUCUCUGGAUGGGACUUUGAAGUCAUACUCCUCAGGGACAAAGGCGAGAGAGGGAACCAGGAGUCGGAACUCUUCCUCUUCGAGACCACGGGGCGUGGUCAGAGGGACUUCCUAGCUUGGCUGCAUAUCCUGACAAGAAGCCUGCAAAGGUCGUGUUCUAUAAGAAGCACUGUUCAUCUAACCCAUGCACUCUGGAUAUGAAAAACUCUGAUUUUUCCACUACUUGCUGCCAAAAAAAUAGGUGGAAGCUUCUUUACCUGCAGGCUUCCUCUGGCUAAUUGUUCCAUGAGUGGCAGCAAUGCUGUGGUCUGACAUGAGAGAGCACAGGCGUCCAGCAGUGAGGAUGGAGGCAGAAAUGAGGUUUAAUUUUACUUUUUAAUCUUUUUAGGGCCACACCUGUCACAUAUGGUUCCCAGGCUAGGGUUCACAUCGGAGCUGUAGCCGCUGGCCUACACCACAGCCACAGCUCAGGCACACAGGACCCGAGCCUCAUCUUUGACCUUCACCACAGCUCACGGCGACACCAGAUCCUUAACCCACUGAGCGAGGCCAGGAAUCGAACCUGCAUCCUCAUGGAUGCAUCACAUUCGUUUCUGCUGAGCCACAACAGGAACUCCCAGAAAUAAGGUUUAAUGCUGAGGAGGUUGUCGGUGACUCAUCUAAGCAGCCUGCACAAGUUCAAGGGAAGGCUUGUGUCCCUGGGGGUCAGUGCUCUAAUGAUUUGCAAAUACAAAAUUCUCAGUCUCUGUAUCUGCAAGUCCUAAACAUUCAAAUUUGAAACAUAGGGUUGUCCACUGUAUUUAAAGUUUUUGAGUAUAUUCUCCCCCAAGUGGCUACCACCAGCCAUUUCUUGCCAAGGAACAGCUCCUCUCUGCACUUAGAGAUAAUGCCUGAGAGCCUCAGGCCACUGCCCCUGCCGCCGCUGUGGAGCGCAGAGAGAACAGAAUUCCCUUCUCCUUUUGUUAGGGGAGGGAGGGGGACCUUCCAGAUCCAGGUCAAGUCUCUAACUGGUCUAAACCUAGACCCCCGCUCCUGCAAACCUACAAAUGUUCUCUACAGAUGCCACUUCUCAGAACAAGUCAUUAUGUGUUAAAACUGCAAAACAUCAAAUUUACCAUUUUAGCCUUUUUAAAGUACACAAUUCGGUGGCAUUUAGUACAUUCACAACUUGUGCCACUGUCAUCAUUACUCAUUUCCAGAAGUUUUUUUAUCAUCCAAACAGAACAUUUGUGCACAUUACACAAAAACUUCCCAUCACCUCCUCCCUCAGGGGAAUACUUUUAAACACUUUUGGUGCCAACACAAUCUGUAGCUGUUUUUACACCUCUUUUACAGGCUUUUGUUAUUUUAUUUAUUUAAAAACACUUAUUAGGCAACCAUACGGGGUGAACUCAGGUAAAUUCCUGGAGGAACUUGCAGUGAAGGAACUUGCAAUGAGCUAAGACAGAGACACAGAUAGAUGAUAACACACAGUGUGAUAAAUGCUACAAUAGAGAAAGGAAAGAAGAGAACUGGCUAGAGAUCUAGUGUUUAUGGAACACAAACUGUCAGAUUGCAACAAGUGCUUCUGCAUUUCAUUUCCCUUCAUAAUAGCCCUGUAAAGUAAUUACUGUUAACCCACUUUGUGGAUAAGGAAGCUCAAAUCUAGAAUGGUCUAGCAAGUUGCCUACACAUUCAGUAGCGGGUGCAAGCCCUAAGCAGACAAGUGCCAAACCAGGCUGGGUGAUUAGCCAGCUUCAUGCAUGUAGGUUUGUGCUCACAGUUCCCUGGACCUUAGUUUUCUUGUGUAAAAUGGCAGAACUACACUAGUAGACCUCUUAGGGCCUUUACAUCAGGAAGCUGAAGAAGACUGAGUGGACAUGGAUCAUUCGAGUUGCAGAUCUGAAGAAACCGAAGAGAAUUCCGCACCUUUGGACUCAGCCUGAGAGGGCCACUGAACUGAGACCCCUUUAGCUGGAUGGGUGGGGCUUUGGGACCACAGAAGUGAGACUUCUAAAUCAGUUUGGGACUCAAGAACUGCUUAACAUGGAGUUCCCACUGUGGCUCAACGGUAAUGAACCCAACUAGUACCCAUGAGGACAGGGUUUCAUCCCUGGCCUCACUCAGUGGGUUAAGGAUCCGUCAUUGCCACAAGCUGUGGUGUAGGUCACAGACAUGGCUCCUAUCCUGCAUUGCUGUGCAUUGGCCAGCAGCUGCAGCUCUGAUUCAAUCCCUGGCCUGGGAAUCUCUACAUGCCAUGGGUGUAGCAGCUAAAAAAAAUGACAAAAGGAAAAAAAAGAACUGCCAAACAGAGGGGGUUGGACUUGGUCUGAUACAUUUUGCUGAGUUACUAAUUUGCGUUCUCUGCCUCAAUUUCCUGUUUUCUUUGCUCCAUACUCAGACAUCCAAACUACCUUCCGCCCCAGGAUAAGCCUGUGGCAGGGAGGCUUGUAUUCAAACCUACCCACCUAGAGAUUAUAUGGAGGGAGCAGAGGGAAAUACGAUCAGGAGGGGACUGAAAUGUAGGUCUUAGAUAAGAUUCCUCCAGGCUGGGAGGGAGACAGUCAAAGGUAUUGGGUGGGAUUCUCAGAAGUUUACUUAACUGUGUCCUGGCACUGCUGAUGGGGUGGAGGUAGAAAACCCUCAGACAAACCAGGUGGGGUGUCGGCAGAGCACCAUAGCCUCACAUCAGUAGCAAAUAUGGGUAGAUCUCCCCAAAUACAUAACAGAAUAUGAUGCUUUCAGGCCCGGAUCAAUGCUGUGCUCUCUGCCUGGAGAGGUCGUCCUUUCUUAUCUACCUGUUGACUUUCUAUGUCAAAGCAAAACUGCACCAAAGUUAAACAGGCAAGGAAGCCCUAAUUCAAAGCUAUUGCAAGAAAGGAUCGGACUCAGAACCAAGUCUGAACUCAACUCCACUGAAACAAAGAGGAUUUUUAAGAGCCAGACAAGCUGGAAGAGUACUCAGGAUCAUUAGGGGGAUGUGCCCACACACUGAGUAACUCCUGAGUUUGUAAAGGAUUUUUCCUGUGAUGAAAGGUGGUGUUUGCCAGGUGGUGCCAUGGAAGUUAGGCUCCUCCCUCCCACAGUGACUGGGUAUGGGGGUGCCAUACUCCUUGAUGAAAAGGAAUGACUCCCAGGUCCUUGAGAAAGACAGUCUUGGGGUGUAAAACUGGCAAGGGGCUGAGGCUCUUCAGAAGGUUUACAUCUCAAAGGGCAUAGAUCCUGCUGUAGAGCCCUGGGAACUGUAUCUCGUCACUUAUGAUGGAGCAUGAUAAUGUGAGAAAAAGAAUGUAUAUAUGUAUGUGUGACUGGGUCACCUUGCUGUACAGUAGCAAACUGACAGAACACUGUAAACCAGCUAUGAUGGGAAAAAUAAAAAUCAUUUAAAA
rnacentral:lncRNA from 1 species